GAAACUUAAAGGAAUUGGCGGGGGAGCACAGCAACGGGAGGAGCGUGCGGUUUAAUUGGAUUCAACGCCGGAAAACUCACCGGAGGCGACGGUUACAUGAAGGCCAGGCUGAUGACCUUGCCUGAUUUUCCGAGAGGUGGUGCAUGGCCGCCGUCGGUUCGUACCGUAAGGCGUUCUGUUAAGUCAGAUAACGAACGAGACCCUCAUCCUUAAUUGCUACUAAUGACCUCGGUUGUUAGGCACAUUAAGGAGACCGCUGACGAUAAGUCAGAGGAAGGCGAGGGCAACGGUAGGUCAGUAUGCCCUGAAUCCUCCGGGCUACACGCGCGCUACAAAGGCCAGGACAAUGGGUUUCGACACCGAAAGGUGGAGGUAAUCCCGAAACCUGGUCAUAGUUCGGAUUGAGGGCUGAAACUCGCCCUCAUGAAGCUGGAUUCCGUAGUAAUCGCGGAUCAACAUCCCGCGGUGAAUAUGCCCCUGCUCCUUGCACACACCGCCCGUCAAACCAUGCGAGUUGGGUUCAAGUGAGGAUGUAGUAUUUUGCUGCGUUCAAACUUGGGCUUAGCAAGCGGGGUUAAGUCGUAACAA
rnacentral:rRNA from 1 species